CUCACUGAUUGACAAAUAUUUUGAAGCACCAGGCAUCACCACCUUAACACAGAAUUACUGUAAGUCCUGUACUAUAUGUGCUAAAUGCAAUCCUGGAAAGAUUAUAAAGACCGCACCUAACCACCUAGCCAAGCCACAAUAUCCCUUUCAGAGGAUCCAGAUUGAUCACAUUCAGAUGCCAAAGAGUGGACGUUAUGAAUAUGCAUUGGUCAUAGUGGACAUGUUUUCAGGAUGGCCAGAGGCCUUCCCCGUGACUAACCUCACCGC
rnacentral:lncRNA from 1 species